rnacentral:rRNA from 1 species
AAAACAAACCUACGGGAGGCAGCAGUUGGGAAUCUUGCACAAUGGGGGAAACCCUGAUGCAGCGACGCCGCGUGGAGGACGAAGGGUCUAGGCCUGUAAACUCCUUUUCUCGGGAAAGACUUAGGACGGUACCCGAGGAAUAAGGACCGGCUAACUACGUGCCAGCAGCCGCGGUAAGACGUAGGGUCCAAGCGUUGUCCGGAUUUACUGGGCGUAAAGAGCGCGUAGGCGGCUCGUUAAGUGUAGAGUGAAAUCUCUGGGCUCACCCCAGAAACUGCUCUGCAUACUGGCGAGCUGGAGGGAUGGAGAGGCUUGUGGAAUUCCUGGUGUAGCGGUGAAA